rnacentral:rRNA from 1 species
UACAGAGGGUGCAAGCGUUAAUCGGAAUUACUGGGCGUAAAGCGUGCGCAGACGGUUGCGUAAGUCAGAUGUGAAAGCCCCGGGCUCAACCUGGGAAUUGCAUUUGAGACUGCGUAGCUAGGGUGCGGAAGAGGCGAGUGGAAUUCCCGGUGUAGCGGUGAAAUGCGCAGAUAUCGGGAGGAACACCAAUGGCGAAGGCAGCUCGCUGGGACGUUACUGACGCUGAGACGCGAAAGCGUGGGGAGCAAACAGG